CCCACCUUCACAAAAACUCGAGCUGGAGGAAAGGAGGGAGGGGGAGACGGAGAGAAAAAAAGCUCUUCUAGAGAGGGAUGCGCGCUCGCGCCUCUGUGGGCUUUUCUGAGUGGACUGACUCGCAGGAGCUUGUAGUUUUUUGGGGGGGUUUGCGAAAGGGGGCUUUGUAGUUUGAAACAUGAAGGACCGCACACAAGAGCUGAGGCAUGGUAAGGACACCGAGGAAGAGGAGGAGGUGGCAGUGGGCAUGGAGAAAGGCUUCAUGGACGAGUUCUUCGAGCAAGUGGAGGAGAUCCGUGGCUUUAUCGACUCACUGGCUGAGAAGGUAGAGGAGGUAAAGAGGAAACACAGCGCCAUCCUCGCCGCCCCAAACCCAGAUGAAAAAACAAAAGCGGAACUGGAAGAGCUGAUGACGGACAUCAAGAAGCUGGCCAACAAAGUGCGCUCCAAAUUAAAGAGUAUCCAGCAGACCAUUGAGCAGGAAGAGGGUCAGAACAGGUCUUCGGCUGACCUGAGGAUACGGAAGACACAGCAUUCCACUCUGUCCCGUAAGUUUGUGGAGGUAAUGUCGGAGUACAAUGCCACGCAGUCAAGCUACAGGGAGCGCUGCAAGGGCCGAAUCCAGAGACAACUGGAGAUCACUGGCAGGAAGACCACAAACGAGGAGCUGGAAAGCAUGCUGGAAAGUGACAACCCAGCUAUCUUCACUUCGGGGAUCAUCAUGGACUCCAACAUCACCCAGCAGGCCAUGAACGAGAUAGAGACCCGGCACAAUGAGAUCAUUAAGCUGGAGAACAGCAUUCGUGAACUGCACGACAUGUUCAUGGACAUGGCCAUGCUGGUGGAGAGCCAGGGGGAGCUUAUUGACAACAUAGAAUCCAGUGUGCGCAACGCACAGGAGUAUGUGGAGAAGGCCAAAGAAGACACCAAAACAGCCAUUAAAGUCCAAAAAACAAGCAAGGUGGUGAGUAACAGCUUGACCAGUCCAUGGCUGCUCUCUAAAGUCUCUCUCUCUCUCUUUUCCUCUUUCCUCUCCAUGUCUCCCCGUUCCCCCUUUCUCCUCUCCUCUUUUUCUUUCCCAUCCCUCCUUCUUGCUUUCCACCCUCCCUUCUUGCUCGCUGUCUCACCCAUGCACCGGUCAGGGAGAGAUGAUCGACCGUAUAGAGUAUAACGUGGAGCACGCGGUGGAUUACGUGGAGAGGGCCGUGUCAGACACCAAGAAGGCAGUAAAGUACCAGAGCAAAGCACGGCGGAAGUUGAUUGCGUUAGGUGUCUGUGUGGCAAUCUGUCUGCUCAUCCUCAUCAUCUCACUGGCCGUCGGGCUCAGCUAGCCAGGGGAGCAGUUCACUUAGAGAAGCCCCCAACCCUGGACGGGACCUUACAAAGCAGUCAAGCUCGAGUUCCUCAAGCUCAUGCUAGACGAAGCAUGGAUGGAUUAUUUGAGUUUUUUGCUGAAGUAAAGUUAAUAAUAUGGCAAAACAGCAAUUUAAUUAUUUAUCAGACUUGUUUAAUUAAUUUUGAAGAGUUAAUCAAACUUAAUAAGACAGAAUUAAUAAUGUAGAAUAAUAUUGUCUCAGUAAUCUUGCUGGUGUACUGUUAGAGACUGUAGCUCAUCUGUUGAUGCACCGUUUGUGUUUGUCAUCCACUAGUCUUUCAUCAAUUGUCAGUUUCUGACCACAGAGCUGCUCUUGGCCUCCAGUAAAUCCCCAGCUACACCAUUGUGUCAUUCAUACAGCACCACACACUACCAUGUCAGUGUAACUGCUGUGCUGAGAAUGCACCACCACACAAAUGCCUGGACCUACAGUGGUCCUGUAGUCAGAAGCUGACCAAUGAUGAGUGAAGUAGAGAGGGGCUGACAGAUGGGCUACAGUCUGUAAUUAUACACCAAUAUAGUGGACGUACAAGGCACAGUAUUGUGCAAAAGUCAGGGACCACCCUUCAUGUAUUUAAUUUCAAGUGAAAAAAAACAAGUUAUUCAUUAUUCAGGAAAUAUUUCUGAGGAGAUCAGAUGUAAGAUAGUCCACGUGCAUAAAGAAGGAAGAAGUCAAAGGAACAAAAAAUGAAAAAGGUUUCCGAAACUUCAAAAAAGAUUAAAAGCUACAGAGAGACUGGGACUCCUAACAACCACCUGGAAGACCUGGUAGACACCAAAACUGCCCCCAUCUGAUAAACAGCACUUAAAGCUUUCAUCUUUGAGAGAGAGGAGAAAAUCAAGCUGCUUCAGAUCUGAAAACAUCCACAGGUGUUUCUGUCCAUCCUUCCACUGUGAGAAGACGAUUCAGCGCUAUGGGUCUGAAAGGAUGUGGAGCUGUCAAGAAGAACCUCACUGAGAAAUGGAAAAAAGAAAACUUGUAAUAGCACACUAAAUGUAGACAUCUGAAUAAUUAUUAUAUGGGCCGAUGAGUCUAAAUUUGCAGUUGGGAUCACUUGGUUUGUUAGAAGCAGAAAAUGCAACCAACUUCUAAGACUGAACUUUGGAGGUGUGUCUGCAGAUUCUUUGAGAAACUGAAAGUGAGUCUCCUGAAAAGAAUGGAAGCCCUAAUAAAGGUGAAGAGCAGGGGUGUGAUAAAAUAUCGAUACAGCGAUAAAAUGUAUCACUUUUUUUGCGAUGUUAUCGAUACACUGGCGCCAAAAAUCGAUUUAUUUAUUGAAACAUGCAUGUAUUGUAAACGCUCUAAACGGACUCCUCCUCCAAUUUGAUUUACCAAAUUUACUUCUUCAUGCCUCCACAUGGUGGCGUUAAGGCGCUUUUCAAAUGAAUAGGCUAAAUUUUUUUGUACAAAUGUAUAUUUGUUUUUUUUUUCUGUGUCACAGAAUCGCAGUAUCAAGAUAGCCUCUUUAUCGUACGCAGUGUAUCAUGAUAAUAUUGUAUUGUGAGAUGCCCUGUGAUUCCCACCCCUAGUAAAGAGUGGACGCAGUAAAUACUGAAAAAAAUGUUUAGUUGUUGACUCUUCUGUGUAAUUUUCUGAUAUAUCGCUGUUGUCAGAAGAAAACCUCGCAUCUCCAAAAUAAUAACUUUACAGGAAAAGGAAAAACAUAUUUUACUUUUAAUGUAAGUCAGUGGAACCAGACAUUUUUCCAAGUCAUUUUGGGCUGUUUCUUUUGGUCCAAUCAUCAUGAAAUUUACACGCAACGUGAAAGACAACAGGUGUAACGGUGGAUGGCUCACCAGACUGAGGAUGUAAACCCAGGCUGUCUGAGUUUUAUUCCAGGGCCUAUAAGGUGAGCGACCACAGGUGUUAGGAACACAGGACCCAAGUGCCAAGCUUAGGUACAGCAGAUGGAUGAGCUGAACUAAAGAACUUAAGCACCUGAUGAGUCCGGGGAUCGAACUCAUCACCGCUACACCACUGCAGCCGUGGUGAAGACAACUAAAAGGAGCGCUCUUAUAUGGGAUUGCCCGAAAAUGAUACAUAAAAAGCUGUCUGAAUUUGUAAACCCACCUGUUUUUGUCAGGCGGGAAAAAGAACAAAGGAUGCCAGGGGAAAACUGGCUUCCUCAGAAGUCGAGAGAAAAUGAAGUAACUGACAAAAGACAAAUGACUUUCCCAACAGAAACAGAACAGAAAGAAGUUUUUUUCCCAGACAGCAGAGAAGGAACUCUCGAGAGGAGGCUGGAGGAACUCAAAAAGUGAGGGGGGAGUGCAAAACUCCCAGCCCUCUUAACAAAAUUACCGGCCGUUUCUGUUGGCUCACAAUGAGACAAAGACACAGCAAUGUGGAUCUUCUUCUCUGCGCUUAUAAAGCCCUCUGCCCAGGUGUAGGACGCUGGGCUUGUUCAGACGUAGGAGAUGUGCGUCGUCUCCCUUUGGUGGCCGGGAGCGUCUCAGCCCUGGAGCCAGCCCUUACAAAUUAUGUUAAUAACAGAACAAUGUCAAAAAUAGAGGUACAAGGUUUUCUUCUGACAACAGUGACAUAUAUGUUAGCUUUUUUUACUGAUGCUGGAAAAUGAAUAACUUGUAUGUAUAAAAACUUGUAUAAAAAAUGCAGGGUGGUCUCUGAUUUUUGCACAGUAAUGUGGGUGAUUCUAAUAAAGAAAGACAAAUGUUUCUAAG